GCGUCGGGGAUUAGUGGCGAACGGGUGAGUAACACGUGAGUAACCUGCCCUUAACUCUGGGAUAAGCCUUGGAAACGGGGUCUAAUACUGGAUAUUGACUUUUCCUCGCAUGGGGUUUGGUUGAAAGAUUUAUUGGUUUUGGAUGGACUCGCGGCCUAUCAGCUUGUUGGUGAGGUAAUGGCUCACCAAGGCGACGACGGGUAGCCGGCCUGAGAGGGUGACCGGCCACACUGGGACUGAGACACGGCCCAGACUCCUACGGGAGGCAGCAGUGGGGAAUAUUGCACAAUGGGCGAAAGCCUGAUGCAGCGACGCCGCGUGAGGGAUGACGGCCUUCGGGUUGUAAACCUCUUUCAGUAGGGAACAAGGCCAGCUUUUUGGUUGGUUGAGGGUACUUGCAGAAGAAGCGCCGGCUAACUACGUGCCAGCAGCCGCGGUAAUACGUAGGGCGCAAGCGUUAUCCGGAAUUAUUGGGCGUAAAGAGCUCGUAGGCGGUUUGUCGCGUCUGCCGUGAAAGUCCGGGGCUCAACUCCGGAUCUGCGGUGGGUACGGGCAGACUAGAGUGAUGUAGGGGAGACUGGAAUUCCUGGUGUAGCGGU
rnacentral:rRNA from 1 species